rnacentral:rRNA from 1 species
AGAGUUUGAUCCUGGCUCAGAUUGAACGCUGGCGGCAUGCUUUACACAUGCAAGUCGAACGGGGUGGCGGGGCAACUCGCCAUUCAGUGGCGAACGGGUGAGUAAUGCAUCGGAACGUGUCCCGUAGUGGGGGAUAACGCCGCGAAAGCGGCGCUAUACCGCAUACGCUCUGAGGAGGAAAGCAGGGGACCUGUGAGGGCCUUGUGCUAGGGGAGCGGCCGAUGUCCGAUUAGCUAGUUGGUGGGGUAACGGCCUACCAAGGCUGCGAUCGGUAGCUGGUCUGAGAGGAUGAUCAGCCACACUGGGACUGAGACACGGCCCAGACUCCUACGGGAGGCAGCAGUGGGGAAUUUUGGACAAUGGGGGCAACCCUGAUCCAGCCAUGCCGCGUGCGGGAAGAAGGCCUUCGGGUUGUAAACCGCUUUUAGCCGGGAAGAAAAGGCAGAGGCUAAUACCUUCUGUUUUUGACGGUACCGGCGGAAUAAGCACCGGCUAACUACGUGCCAGCAGCCGCGGUAAUACGUAGGGUGCGAGCGUUAAUCGGAAUUACUGGGCGUAAAGCGUGCGCAGGCGGUUCGUUGUGUCGGUGGUGAAAGCCCCGGGCUCAACCUGGGAAUGGCCAUGGAAACUGGCGAACUGGAGUGUGGCAGAGGGGGGUGGAAUUCCGCGUGUAGCAGUGAAAUGCGUAGAGAUGCGGAGGAACACCGAUGGCGAAGGCAGCCCCCUGGGCUAACACUGACGCUCAGGCACGAAAGCGUGGGGGAGCAAACAGGAUUAGAUACCCUGGUAGUCCACGCCCUAAACGAUGUCAACUAGGUGUUCGGGAAGCGAUUUCUGGGUACCGUAGCUAACGCGUGAAGUUGACCAAUCACUA